rnacentral:rRNA from 1 species
GAGUUUGAUCCUGGCUCAGGAUGAACGCUGGCGGCGUGCCUAAUACAUGCAAGUCGAGCGAACAGAUAAGGAGCUUGCUCCUUUGACGUUAGCGGCGGACGGGUGAGUAACACGUGGGUAACCUACCUAUAAGACUGGAACAACUCCGGGAAACCGGGGCUAAUGCCGGAUAAUAUUUAGAACCGCAUGGUUCUAAAGUGAAAGAUGGUUUUGCUAUCACUUAUAGAUGGACCCGCGCCGUAUUAGCUAGUUGGUGGGGUAAUGGCUUACCAAGGCAACGAUACGUAGCCGACCUGAGAGGGUGAUCGGCCACACUGGAACUGAGACACGGUCCAGACUCCUACGGGAGGCAGCAGUAGGGAAUCUUCCGCAAUGGGCGAAAGCCUGACGGAGCAACGCCGCGUGAGUGAUGAAGGGUUUCGGCUCGUAAAACUCUGUUAUUAGGGAAGAACAAAUGUGUAAGUAACUGUGCACAUCUUGACGGUACCUAAUCAGAAAGCCACGGCU